CUGCAGCCCACUUAUGUGCCCUUGAGUGGGAAUCAACCCUCGACCCUUCGGGGCCAACUCUCUAACCACUGAGCAACACCAGCCAGGGCAAAGUUUUAUUUUUAAGGAAAUGGCACCACACCCGGAGUCACAGGUGAGAGGGAAGAAAACGGCUCUCUGAUGGCUUCCAGGAGGUGGGUUACAUAGAGGGAGAAUCAGUAAUCAUGGUGACUAAGGGGGUUAGGGUCAUGAUCUCCACUGAUCGUGUCGGUGCCAGGGUAGGGGACAGGGGAUCAUUGCUUCUGGUCCUGACUUCGCUUCAGCUAGUUUCACCAGGAUGUGGUCGGUGGAGUUGGUUCACUUUUCCGAGUCUGGAGCAGAAACAUAACUGAGGCCUAGAUGUUAUCUUUGACUAAAACUGUCUCUGUGGUCAAUAGGCCUGAGGCUUUGUUCCUGGCGUUGCUUAAUGCUGACCGGCAACCGGGGCCUCAUUAUCCUGAGGGCUUAAAGAUUAAGGGAGUGGACGUGCAAGGGAGAAGGAGACAGUCCAAGAAGCCUGCUGGAGAAAGAACAGUGUGGUGAAAUUAUAUUCGAGUUUGAUAAACAUCUUGCUCUUCGGACAAGACAAUUGAUUAGAGCUCGUCUGUUCAUCUAAAUGGAUCAGCUCAGCUCAGAAGUAAAAGGAUGUGUCUCAUUCCUGCAAGCCUAGACCACCUCUUUCCCCGGCACCUCCAUAAUUUCUAGGGAGCGGAGUUCUUACAAUGAGUCCAGAGCAGACAUUUCCCAGAAACACCUGCUAGAAAUUUUCAAAGGCAAACAUGACGAUACCGUCCCAUCUUCUCUACCCCCCGAGACGCCACAAUACGCCUCCUUUACGUGGAAGUCAGAUGGGGAAACCGAGUCCAAGAGGCUUUAAAAAACCACCCGGGUCAUGUAGCCUUGAGUGGUGACAGAGCUGGGGUUUCACUCCAGGCAAGCUGGUUCUACCGAGUCCACACUCUGCCCUGCUCUGGCCCCAGUGGACACCAGCUGACGACCCUCAGGGACACAGGCCACCAGGCUCUCCCCGAGGGUUCUGGUUUCCCUGGUGUUCCAGCGGCAGGCUCAGCCAUUCCUUCAGCUCCCAGCAGACACCUCUCUGAAAGCAAACAGAUGGGGAGCAGGACCAAGUGUGUCCGCCCAACCGCGACGUCCCAAAGCGAGGGACUUUCCAAGGCUCCCACCCCGCUUUCUGGCUCUGAUUUUCCUGGGAAUGCCACCGUCUUCAAGGGCGCAGGAAGGUGACUGAUCCAGGAGACACAGAGGAAAUGAAAGCACGGGCACCUGCGAGGAUUGUCUAACAUCCACACGGCCCCCUUUCUUUAUUUAGACACUUUCAGAUUCCACCCCCCGUCACCCUUACAUCUCUGCUCCCGAGUGGGUCUAAAUGCUGCCUCCCUUCCCCCCUCCUCCCUGGCCCACCCCCUGCCACCUGCUUCUUUAGUCAUUUCAGGGGACUCACUUUUUCCUGGGCACGUGACCUCUGCCCGAUUCCCUGCCUCCACGUGGGUGACCGUUGCUGCAGGCCUGGGCCCCUUCCGGACCCUAGGCCCCAUCAGAGCCCGGCUUCCUUCCUCUUCGUUAGCCCUGGUUCCGUGCCUGCUUGUGACACCCACUGCUCCCAGGGGCUCCCUGUCCCCUCUGGACUGCAGGCACUCCCCAGAGGUACAGCCAGGGGCUUGCCAACCUCCUCAUGCUUCCCCCGCCCCCCAUUCUGCACUGCACGCUUCUCCACCCAGGACCCCACCUGAAACUCAGCAGCCCUACCCCCCUGCCCCCACACCAAAGGUGGCUGUAGCUGACUUCUCUGCUUCCUCCCACACUCUACCACUCAGACACUAAAGGCCAGCCUCCUCUGGGGUGUAUAGUACCCCGCUGUGCCUCCUUUCACCCACUGGGUAUGGCUCCAGGUUUUUUCCCUGUGUCCUCAUCGGGAGUGGCUUCAGGGUUCCCCUCGGUGAUCAUCAGACUUCCCGUUCUCAUAGACCCCCCAGGACCUCUGUUGUCCCUUUACUUCACUACCCACCCCAUGUCCAAAGCCACACCCUGCACCUUUCCCCACCCAGAACGAUGCCACCCGUACAACUUGGAUUUCAGCUCCUGGUCCUGUGAGCAGCUUCCAGGCCCUCCAGCCUUUUCUCCCUCACUCCCUGCUCAAUGCCGUCACUGCCAGCGCCCACCCCAUCAGGCCCUCCCUGGUCACACAUCCCAACCCCACUCAGCCUGGACUCCAGGUCAGUCAUGUGAGCUAACUUUCAGUAGCCUCUUUGGGCCCUCCCACCCCACAGACUCACCUUCAAAUCCCCCAGGGCAUUGGGGCAAUUCCAUAUGCAAGUGAGUCAGAGAACUGGAGGGAAAUCCAACUGUGAAACCCCAGGAAUUCAAUCUCAAGGUUCCUGGCUCCCUCUGCAGCUCUUCCACACAUUGGCCCUCCUCUCAAGUCCCCAUCAAACCUCUACUCCUCUCCUUCUCACCAGGCAAGACCGCAUCCAUCCAUCCAUCCGCUCAGCUCAGCCUUGCAGCUGGUGGCCUUGACUCACGCCUCCCCCUCCACGCGUCUUCAAUCACUCCUGUCAGAGGUAGGUGUCCCUUCUCCUGGUCAAGGCCACCACCUCUGUCUGUGCGUGCUCUUGAGUCUAAUUCCUACUAUCUCCUCCUUGGCCUUGCUCCAUCCCUCCUCCUCUCCCUCUGGGAUAUGGGCUUUGCCAAGAAUAGGCUGGUGAGACUGGUGGUAUGGGUUGAAUUGUAUCCCCCAAAGCUAUGUCCUGACACUCAGUACUUCAGAGUGUGACCUUAUUUGGAAAUAGGGUCUCCACAAAAAAAAAAAAAAGUUAAAAUGAGGUUGGGGACCCUGGCCAGGUAGGGUAGCUCAGUUGGUUAAUGCAUUGUCCCAACAUGCCAGAGCCCCCCUCAGAGCCACUCAUCCAAUGAAGGCAUAACUACGUGGAACAACAAAGCUCUCUCUCUCGCUCGCUCUCAAAAAAUAAAAUGAGGUUAGGUGGGCCCUAAUCCAAUAUAAGUAUCCGUAUAAAACGGGAAAAUGUGGACAGAGGGACGGUGGCCUGAAGACACACAGGGGGCAGAUGAGCAGAUGGUCCUGCGCGUUCCUAGCCGAGGCUGAGGAGCGUUAGCAAACCCCAGGAGCUGACGAGUUGGCCUGAUGUCCCAGCGGGUCUGCCCCACAGCUGUCAGAGAGCGGCCCUGCCCACUCCCGGAUUCAGGACUUGCCACGUCCAGAACCGAGACAGUGCCUUUCUGUUGCCUUAAGUUGGGGGGCUUCGUCACGGCAGCCCCAGGAGACUCUGCAGCUGGGGACGCGGGCCCUGAGAGGGGCUCUGACACCUCUUCCUGGGAAUUCGGAGUCCUUCCUGGCAGUCACCGGUUUAAAAUUGUAGCUCAGAAGUGACUCCAGAGGUCUGUGAUGUGUGCUAAUGUGUAAAGCCAAGGUCCCCGAGGGUGUAUCCUAAGUACAUUCGAGUCCCAGCUCCCAGCUCUGAGCCAGCCCCCUGCAGGCUUCCAGCGCUGUGGACUGAGCCGGUGCGGCUGGUCACCAGGGUAGGGGAAGUCCAGUCAGAGCCGGGGUUUCCAGGAGUGUCCCCGAGCCUGGCAUAGCUUUUGUGCCUGUGCACACAGGCCAGCCCCUGGGACACACUGGCUCUCACGCAUGGUCAGGACAACCCGGGGAGCUUCGAGAUGCUCGGUGGAACCUGCUGACAGUUUCCCGAGGGUGACUCAGUGCCGCACUGAGAAGCCGGCUGGGAAUGAAGAGCCUGUGCUUUCCUGUCCUUCCUCCUGUCUUUCCAGGAAGCCCUUGGAACAGAGUCCCAAGCGCUCGCUCCAGCCAGCCCGGAUCCUGCUUCCCGCUGCUCGAGGACCAGCGCCAUCAGAUAACAUCCAGGUGGCUGUGAGCACCACGCUCCCCUCCGGAGCCUGGAGCCCGCAGUGCCCUCUCCUCCACUGCCCAGGCCUUUCAAGUGGUCUGAAUAGCGCAUUCCACUUUCAUCUGUCUCCUCUGUCCUGGGAAUAAUCUGUAUAGUCUGCGGUUCCGCCCCUAGUCGGAGCUCAACAAAUAUUGACUAGGAUGAAUUUUUAAAGCAGUUUGAGUCGUCAUGUCAAGGCAGGAGCAAGAUGACACCAAGAAACCUUACUCAGAGGAGGUUUGUCAGCCACCCGUUCCUAUCAGGCUCCUGCCAGCACCCCUGCCAGCGACCCUCUCAAACCAGGACCCACAGGUUUGCCGAAUCCACCCCCUCUCCUCCCAGCUCACUCACAGCCCAGGCUCCCAGACCAGGAGGAGCCGGUGUUCAGGUGGAAUUAGAAUGAUUGUGCUUUCAAGUGAAAUGGAAGCCAGAGGUUCCUCGGAGCGUCUGAUUGAUGCAUGGAAGGGUCCUCAGGGGGAGCUAAGUACCCUGAGUGGGCAGGUUAGGAGCCUGGAGGACUCAGGAACACGAUGCCCACAGGUCCAAGCCCCAGGCACAGUCCUGGCUCACAGUUCCAGCAGCCUGUUUGAACAAGCCAGCUGAGUGAGACUCUUCAUGGGUCUAGCAAAAAAAUAUCUUUCUUCCCCAGCCAGCGUGGCUCAGUGGUUGAACCAGGAGGUCACGGUUCAAUUCCU